ACGGGAGGCAGCAGUGGGGAAUAUUGGGCAAUGGGCGAAAGCCUGACCCAGCGACGCCGCGUGAAGGAAGAAGAUUUUCGGAUUGUAAACUUUAGUUAGCAGGGAAGAAGAAAGUGACGGUACCUGCAGAGAAAGCCACGGCUAACUACGUGCCAGCAGCCGCGGUAAUACGUAGGUGGCAAGCGUUAUCCGGAUUUACUGGGUGUAAAGGGUGUGUAGGCGGGAAGGCAAGUCAGAUGUGAAAAUUAUGGGCUCAACCCAUAACCUGCAUUUGAAACUGUUUUUCUUGAGUGUCGGAGAGGUAAUUGGAAUUCCCAGUGUAGCGGUGAAAUGCGUAGAUAUUGGGAGGAACACCAGUGGCGAAGGCGGAUUACUGGACGACAACUGACGCUGAGACACGAAAGCGUGGGGAGCAAACAGGAUUAGAUACCCUGGUA
rnacentral:rRNA from 1 species